UACGAAGGGGGCUAGCGUUGCUCGGAAUCACUGGGCGUAAAGGGUGCGUAGGCGGGUUUUUAAGUCAGGGGUGAAAUCCUGGAGCUCAACUCCAGAACCGCCUUUGAUACUGAAGAUCUUGAGUCCGGGAGAGGUGAGUGGAACUGCGAGUGUAGAGGUGAAAUUCGUAGAUAUUCGCAAGAACACCAGUGGCGAAGGCGGCUCACUGGCCCGGUACUGACGCUGAGGCACGAAAGCGUGGGGAGCAAACAGG
rnacentral:rRNA from 1 species